CUUCCCCUCUGUCGGUAGGCCUAGCACAUGCAAGUUGAACGGCAGCACAGUAAGAGCUUGCUCGUACGUGUGGCGAGUGGCGUACGGGUGAGGAAUACAUCGGAAUCUACUUUUUCGUGGGGGAUAACGUAGGGAAACUUACGCUAAUACCGCAUACGACAUACGGGUGAAAGCAGGGGAUCUUCGGACCUUGCGCGAUUGAAUGAGCCGAUGUCGGAUUAGCUCGUUGGCGGGGUAAAGGCCCACCAAGGCGACGAUCCGUAGCUGGUCUGAGAGGAUGAUCAGCCACACUGGACCUGAGAAACGGUCCAGACUCCUACGGGAGGCACCAGUGGGGAAUAUUGGCCAAUGGGCGCAAGCCUGAUCCAGCCAUACCGCGUGGGUGAAGAAGCCCUUCGGGUUGUAAAGCCCUUUUGUUGGGAAAGAAAAGCAGCAGGUUAAUACCCCGCUGUUCUGACGUUACCCACAGGAUAGGCACCGGCUAACUUCGUG
rnacentral:rRNA from 1 species